CUCUCUUUCUCUCUUUCUCAACAGAAAAUCCCAGCAACUCUCUUCGUUCUUCUCUUUCCCAGAUUCGAGUACGGCUUACCUUCUUCGUCUUCUGUUUCAUUUCCUCACUUUUUCUACGUAAAUCCAAAUAGACUAUAAAUUCAUCUGAAUCAGAAUCGUUCAGAGGUGCAAGGAUUUUUGUGAGUGUGCACGACGAGCGCAUCAGAGCUUUUCUAUAACUGCAGGUCUCGCUACAACAGCUAAGCCACCCACCAAGAUCUCUGCUUCGACCCCCUCUAUCCACUUGACCGGAUUUACAAUCAUCGCCACCAUGAUCUUCAUGAAUUUGACGGCUGUGAACUCGUCCGCCACCCCUUGUUGCCCCACCUCUACCUCACGAGAUGGGUGUUGAGUGGGUUGGGCAGAGGCACCAUAGGCAUCGUUCUCAAGCUUGUGACCUUCACGUCACCUGCAUCAAAAUCGAUCUGAAGUUGAAUACAAAUGGUGGUACUAUGUCUCCCUUUGAUUAUGGUAUUGUUUUCGUUCUUGAUGGUGGUGCAUAGGUACUUCACCUUUUAGCCUUUUCCUUUCAUUACAAUUGAUAAUUGAUCAUUGCUUCUGGAAUAUGACUCACUGUGUUAUACCAAUACUAUUAUUAAGCUUUUUGAGCUGAAUCUUUAUUCCUAACAAGUUGAUUUAGACUGGGUAACUAUAAACAAUAUAGGUUCUUGUGAAAAGUUGGUACUCUUGGACGACCCAUAGCAGAAUCUUUCACAGGUUGGGGAAUCUUGGUUUGGCCUAUGGUACUUUUCAUUGUAGCUCUAAUUUUGUCUAUUUUCUGAUAUGUAUAUAUAUUUGUUUUUCUAUUGGCUCUUUGUGGUUGAAGUUCAUACCCUGGUAUUAUUAGUUUCUUUUUGUAUAUAUAGCUCAAGAUAUAAGAAACCACCUCUGUUCCUCUUAGGGGUGGCUGAAAAUGCCGGACCUGCCGAAACCAGCCGGAAACCGGCCGAACCGCCUCCAUCGGCGCCGACGGAAGUGGUAGCCGGAGGUACGGUACGGUACUACCGUACCGGAGCAAUGUUUUCGGCUCGGUAGUGGUACAGCCAAUUGCAUAGGUUCGGUGAUACCGAACCAGCCGAGAUAGAUAUUUCUGGGUUUAAUUCCAAAAAACACUACCCUUUUGCGCCUGCCAAGGAUCGAACCUUUGCCACUCUCGCUACAAACUCGAGCCACUUACCACUAGGCCACCAGCUUGCAUGUUAAUGGUUGCGCAUAAAUAAAAAAAUAUACUUGAAUCAGAAAACAGAAAACAGAAAAUUAAAAACUCUUUCUUGUCUUCUACUUCGAGACAAGUAUGAUUCUCUCUCUUCUUCA